UAAUUAUCGGAAGCAGUGCCUUCCAUAAUUA
rfam:Myotis lucifugus cont2.25199, whole genome shotgun sequence.